AUGCGUUUCACACACGUGACCAACCCGAAUGAGAAUUUAUUCAAAAUAAUUGAUGACAUGGAAGAAUACCCUCUCUUCGUCCGACUUGCACUACAGACGUCUUUGGCCACCAAUGAACAAGUGGCGUCCAUGUUGAAAGGGAGGCCGAUGACUGCUAUUCAAGAGUUUGUGCGGCGCUGGGUCGGUGAUAACUUUCAUGAACACUGUCGUCUCCUAGGGAAAUAA
rnacentral:rRNA from 1 species